UCCGGCUUAUCACCGGCGGUUUCUUUAGAGUGCCCAACUAAAUGAUGGCAACUAAAGACGAGGGUUGCGCUCGUUGCGGGACUUAACCCAACAUCUCACGACACGAGCUGACGACAGCCAUGCAGCACCUGUGUUCAGAUUCUCUUUCGAGCACCCUCGAAUCUCUCCAAGGUUUCUGACAUGUCAAGGGUAGGUAAGGUUUUUCGCGUUGCAUCGAAUUAAUCCACAUCAUCCACCGCUUGCGCGGGUCCCCGUCAAUUCCUUUGAGUUUUAAUCUUGCGACCGUACUCCCCAGGCGGUCUACUUCACGCGUUAGCUGCGUUACCAAGUCAAUUAAGACCCGACAACUAGUAGACAUCGUUUAGGGCGUGGACUAC
rnacentral:misc_RNA from 1 species